GCUGGCUAAGGUUCACCUGCAGGGCUAGAGAUUUCUGUUGUUCCUUCUAGGGUAAGACAGUGCAGACGACCCACCACCAGCAUUUGCCCAUUGUUUCCCAUUGGGAUCCAGCUUUGCUGAAUUUUUUGGGUGUUUCCAUAAAGGCUCAGUGUAGACACAUUCAGGAUGGCCUGAAAGAAAAUGGAGAAGUGCUUCAAAUGUUACUGAGCACACUUACAAAUAUCGUCCUGGGGCAGAAGAGUGAAGUCACUGCACGAACAAGGGAGCACAGACAGCUCCCUUCAUGCCUUUGGAAGCUCUGGCUAUCACUGCACCAGGGUGGAACAAGACUGUGGAACAGGAACUAUCUAAGUCAGGACCCCAAUUCAGGCACUGAAGGAGUAAAACUGCAACCCACCCAAUGCAAUUCCUGUAAACACAAUGUGCCAAGGUUUCCAACAAGCACCAGCUCUGGCAACAACAAUCAUUGCCAUUCCAUGCCUUACUGAAACUGGUCAGAAUGGUUUUGGAGAAUUGGACAGCCCCUGAUCUUUCUGAGGAAGGAAAAAGGAGCUCAGCUGAGGUAUGUUUUGACACAGAGUGAGGUUACCUUUGCUCCUGUGUCUUGCAUACAGAUGCUGGUCUGCAUAUCCCACUCUCUGUUUUGGGAGGGGAGAAGGGAAUGAGCUCAGGUGGGGGAGGGCUGAGUUGAGGCCAUGAUUAUUGGGGAAAACAUUAACAUGGAGCUUGUAGAGAGAAACAAGCUUGAUGCCCCAACAGGAAACUUAACCAUCAAGCACUUGGUCUCAGGGAUCAUUUUAUUCUCAGAAAGUGGGCCAUAAAUACAGAGUUAAUUAUGACCAGAACCUACAGUAAUAACCUGUUUAUGGGAAAACUCUAGUCCUAGUCUAGAAGAGCUGUAAUCUUACCCUGCCAUCUGAAAUUUGUUUCUUUAUUAAGAUUACAUUCUCGACUGAAAGAAAAAAAAAAAGAAGUGAGUUAGUUUGAUAAGUUUAUUGUCCUUUGUCAGGAUGGUAGUAUUUUUUUCUGCUUUGAAAAUAGAUGUUCCUGUUUCUAUAGCUGUAUAUUUAUCCUUUCUUUCAGCUUUUUCAUUACUGUUCCCUUUAAUCAUUUAAUGAGGAGUGUUCAGGUUCUUGAUGAUUUAAAAUUAUGACUCAUAGAGACACUGGCAAUAUCUUUGCUGGAGAAACGUUGAUCCUCUAACUUUAAGACUUUAAAUUCAAACCACAUGUUUUUGCCACUAACUCCAAAAACAACCCCUGGAGUUGUGUGACUGUCACUAGAAUAUAAACCAAAGCCAUUCUGCAAACAAAAGCUGCAGUAUUUAAAUUGCGAUUUCGGUCAGAAAAGUGACUAUUUUAAUCAUUGCUCCGCUUUACCCAGGAGAUCUGCUCCCUCUGCACAUUCCAAAUAUCUCUGCAGAUUUUUAUAGACUGAAAGGAGAUUUUACUGCCUUCCACCCCUCUUAGCCCUACGGAGGCCGGCCAAGGCAGGCGGGUGAGCCAGAUUUGUUCCAGACUCACACAUCCGCGGGAGUGUGAGCUGAAUUCCCGCGGCACGACCUGCCCAGCCGGUGAUGUGCCCGCCAGGACACGCUUUUGUGCUCCCUGGGAGCUCACAGGGUGCAGGGCACUUAGAGGGGGAAGAACAAAACACAAAACCAAAACCACAGGGGUUUUCCUAUAAACUGGUUUGGUUUGAAAAGGGAAAAAAAGUCCCACAAGAGUCUCUUAGGCUGGAAUGGCUUUUUUGAGAGCAGCUACCUGGAUGGACCCCACUUCAAGGGUAGGGGCUCUGAGUAAAGAAAAAAAUAAAUUUCAAAAAGUAUUAGAUAUAGAACUGGGAAAUUGAAAAUAAGAGGAUGCAAAUGUCUUAAGGAGAUUUUCUUUUCUUGCUGGCUUUGAGGAAUGAAUUAAUUUCCUUCAAUAUUUUCUUCAUGUGGACACUUUCUUACAGCAGUCUGGGUGCUGAGCUUCAUCCUCUUUGGGCUCCUACAAACCAAAUCACUGCCUUCCCCGACCCUCAAGCCCCGUUUCGUGUGUUUGCUACUCCAAGAAUCAAAUCCCAUUUAGAAGGUGGCUGCUUUAACUCCCUAUCUUCAUUUAUGAAAUGCAAUAUAUGUAUUUUAUAUCUAUGAAAAUUCCCUAUUACUGUAUUGGGAAUGUUUCUCUGAUAGACAUGAAUUCAAAAUAAAUGUUGUUAAGAGA